CAUCCCUGCUUGGGAUUUUCUCUCUGUCCCUCCCUGCUCUUUCUCAAAAUAAAUAAUAUUUUUAAAAAAUGUUACAUGAAACCAAACAUUAAUGGCUGCUAAAAUGAAAGACUAAAAAAACAUCUGGCUUGCAAGACAGAAAUAGGGGGCCUGACUAGAGUAUCAGGGUGAUGCUGGCCUCGGAAUGAAUUAGGAAGUGUUCCCUCCUGUUUGAGUUUUUAGGAAAAUGUUUGAGAAGGGUGGGAUUAGCUAUUCUUUACUAUGAUAGGCAGCAGAAAACAGGAUUUUUCAAUGUAUCCAAUUCAGUGUAAUAACAACUGCAUCAGUGCUUCUGUCGUAAAGCUUUACCGACACGGUAAAAACAAAACAAAACAAAACAAAACAAAAAACAAAAACUGAAAGUUUUCUAAAACCGAGACUGUGUUGGCUAAAAUGUCCGUGUUUUCACUUAUAAUUUCAGUGUUAACUAUGAUUUUGGGGCGAGGUCCUUUUAUCUUAAAGGCAUUACAUAGCCUUAAGAAGGUAAUGGAGUGAGGCGGUUCUUAUCAAAGCUGCUGAGACUACAAAAGGAGAGAGAACCGGACAUGUGUGCCCUGGAUGGACUGGCCACCACCACCGGUGAUGAAGUGCUCUAACAAAACAGGCAAAGAAACAAAACACUAAUACAGGCUGAUCAAGGCUGAGAAUACAGGAGAAAAGGGGAAUACAGUAAAGGACACCAUGUGAAUGUUGUUUAGCAAAACCCAGCCUGGGGACACCCUCCAGGGCCAAUAAUCUGGUUCUUCCAGGUAAGUUAUAAGGAAAAAGAUACAAGGAGACUCACAGAUACAAACACUUGUCAUGAGACUCGGUGACCAGUUACAACGUAUGGAGUCAGCCUGGAUCCAGAUACUGACUAUACUGUUAAAUUUUUAAUAAGACAAUCAGAAAUUUGAUGAAUGAGGAAUGAUGACUAAUGAUGUUGAGGAAUUGCUGUCAAUUUUUAAAGAUGUGAUAAUUUAAAAAUGCGAUGAAGCAAAAUGUGGUUGUGUAAAAAUAGAAGAUGUUCUAUUCAAAAAUAAAAUGUAUUUAAGGCAUUUACACGUGAAAUGAUGUGAAGUCUGGCAUUAGAAUCGAACUGACCUGGAGUGGCUGGGGACAAGGUGAAAAAAGACUGGUAAGUGACCUGGUAAUUGUGAAAGCUGGGGGUGAGAGGACCAGGUCGUUAGAUACCGGACUCUUUCCACUUUUGUGUAUGUUUGAAUUUUUCCCUCAGAAAAAGUUGAAAAUCAACCCAAAACAGGAGAAGGCAUUAUAGACAGGUCACACCAGGACCUUGGUAUUCCUGGAUCCUGAGUUUUGUGACAUGCACUUGCAAGGUUCUCCCCCCCAGCCCCCCAGUAAAAGGAAUAGUUCUGGGUUUCAAAAUGCCUUAAAAUCAUUUCCAAACACUGUGAAUAUUGCUUUAAAAGGUAUUAGGACCUUUAAUAAAAUAGCAUUUGAUAGCUUUGUCCUUCCAAGCAAUUUCUCUUCCAUCAUGACAGGAGGGAAGGCUCCGUUGUCAAUAGUCGUGUGUCAUUUUUCUGAAGAUAAUUUUUGCAGUUAGGUAUUUGGAGUAACUUGGAAUGAUAAAGGUGCAAACGAUGUAUUUAUUGUACAGUGUGCUUCUCUAAGACAAGCUGGACAGUUCUGAAUGAGAUUGCAAAACCUUGCAUUUCCUGGACUAGAACAUGCCAUUUUAACUUAUGAGGAGGUAGGGAUGUUCCAAAACACCCCAAGGCUCACACUCAAACACAGGGUGCCCAUCCCAUGUAAUCCAGAGACUGCGCCCAGGCACCAGUCACAGCUGAACAGAGGCCACCAGGGGUGCUGUUGGCUGGGGCAUAGCUGGGAGCCACACCCCCCAUGAGAAGCAAGGAGAUGCCUCAGUGUGCACUACAGAAGGGACCACGCAAUAACUGGAAAAUAAAAAUCAAAGCCCGGGAUUCUCCCACCCCAUGCCUGUGGACCACCCACAGUGCCCUGGGGGCGUUUCCAGGAGGAAGCUGGCGGCCCCCAGAAGUCCAGCCCACUCUCUGGCCCUGGCCCCCCCGGCUCCUUCCUGCUGCGGUCUAGCAACCACGCAGCCUCACAGAGGUCCGGACACAACCUGCCCCCUGCUUUCUCGCCCUCCCCCUACAUUCUGUCCAUGGCCAUGUCUGGAUUCCAGGGUCUGGACAGCAUAGCCCCACCCCUGCAAACACCUGGAACUCCCUGUUCCUCCCCCAGUCCCACCACCUGGUAACUCUCCAACACGUAAUUACUUCUUGCCUGAGCCGAGCAGUGGCAUGCUGCUGGAGAAUCAACUGUACCUCGUGGCUUCGUUUGAGAUCAGGACCCUGAAUUGUAAACAGGCUUCGGCAUUAUCCCCGUAUUGUGACUACUUCUGUCAUGCAGGCACCUUCUCCCUCCUCAGUACACUCGUGUCACAGAUUCUUUCUUUUCUUUCUUGAGACUUGCUCACUCUGCCCCCAUCAGUUAAUGAUCUCACUUCCCUGGCCAACAGAGUGGAUGUCCUCAGUCGGGCACUCCCCGGGUGUCCCUUCUCCUGGCCCCGCCACUGCCUCUGCCAGGUGUGCUCUUCUCACCUUCCCGGCCACUGUCCUUUCCUCUAUCCCGUCCCUUCUUUGUGAUAUCCUGAGAAUAUUUGUCUAGCCUGAGAAAAAACUGACAACAGACACCCCUUUCUCGAUUCUCUGCCAUCCUGGAAUCAUGGCUCGUUCUCUUAAGCGUGCUAAGUACGUGCUCUCCUUCGCUCCUGUGUCUGGGAAUCUCUCCCCUUAAUGAUGGGCUCCUUGCCAUUCAGGUCUCAGCUUUGACAGCUCCUCGGGGGGUGCAGAUAUGGUCACGUGCUGCCCAGAUCCCCCUCAGGACCCAGGGAUUGGUUCUGAGCUGCAGGGGUGCUGCCCUUGGUCGUCCAGGCUCUUCAAGAAAUCGCCCUGGCUAAAGCCCUCGAGCUCUAGAUGCCCUCACAGUCCUGCUUCUCCCCUGCCCAUGCCGCACCCUCCUCUCCCACAGGGGUGCACCCUGGGGCUCCCUCAUAAGCCUCUGCACACAAACCUGGGACAUCCAUCUGAGCUGUCACCCCUUGCCUCUGUCACCUCACCUUGCUGUGACUCUCUGCAUGGCUUCCAUCACCACCCACUUCCCCUUGCUAGAAUGUGGGUUCCAGCAGAUCGGGGAAUUGGUGUUGUUCAUCUCUGUACCUGGAGUGCCCACACCAGGGACCGGGGCUGGGCAGACACAGCUGCUGAAGGAAUGAGGGGGCUCGGGGUGGCCCGGCACUGCCAGUCGUGUAGGGUUGUAUAUGGUUCUAGAGAACGUACGUGACAUGGUGUUUCCCCAGCACCUGGUGCACACUAAGCACUUUCUGAAGGCACCAAGAUAAAGUUACCGCUCUUAAACUAAGCCUUCCUUCAGGGAAUAAUAGGAAAAUCGAAGAAAAUGCAGAACAAGGUGAAGUGACUGGUGAACUGCAGCCAGGACCAAAGGCGGGGAGAAAGUAAAACCUGAUACCAUCUGACGAACUGCACAGACAAAAUACAAACAGAAGAGGGACUGAGCUGCUGAGAGGAAGCAACUUCGUGUAAGAUGCCGGGAACCAACCCCUCCUAUAGGUGAGGUGAGAGAAAACAAACCUAAUUGUGGGGGCAGCGGCAGACAAGCGGGCAAUAAACUUAUGACGGGAGGACUUGGGGCAGCUCUGGGGCAGACCAGUCCCUUUUCACCACAUCACACGGUGAGUAUUUUAUAUACAACGUUUAAUUUGGAUUCUUUCCACGUUUAUUUAAUAGGUGAAUAAUCUACACAGAAAACUGUUUAACCACCUUACAGUAAAGCCAUGUACCUACUCAUUGUUGAAAUGAGGACACUGGCCUUUAAACUAUUUGUGGGCUAAAUCCUAAUCUAUUAUUACUGUGGGUAAUAAUCCCCUGUUCCUACUUUCCUACAUGACUGGGGGUUUCCCUGUGGGGCUGCUCUACAUCCAGACAUGGACCUACCACGGAUCUACCAAUCUAUCUGAUGUGCAAAUCAUCCUAGAGAAAGUCAAAGUCACAUAAAAGAAAACGAAUAUUUGAACUACUUUCUGAGGUGACUUCAUAUGAUGAACUCAAGAAUCAAACUCGUCUGCAGAUGCACAGACACAGAAAAUGGCCCACGACAGAGUAACUCUGAUGAACUAAACUAGAACCAUAACUAAACUAUGAACUUAACUUUGGUAAAAAUGCUGCCAUGGCCACAGGGACUCUGCCCCUCCAAGGAGAUCCAGCAGCUCCGUGAAGCAGCGGGCCGUCCUGACUCCUGAGUGGGCAGCGUCUACCCCAAGACUUACGCUUUGGUGGUGUCGUGCUCCCCGUAAAGCCAGCCAUCUUUCUCCUCAGGGACGAGCAGUGUGAGGACAUCUCCCUGAGCGAAGCUGAGCAAGCUCUGGUUCGCGCCCGCGGUGUGUGGGAAGAUGGUUUUCACUUUCUGCUUCUUCAUCAUGUUCAGUCCGGUUGCGACAGAAACCGAUCGCUGUAAACUGGGAUCAUCUGAAGAAUCUGUUAAAACUGAGCACAGCAGUGAUUGCUUUUCAAGGACUGAUAACAUGGUAAGUUCACACCAGGAGACCCCAGAAAGCCAUCCAUUCCUGUCCACCAGCAUUCCUUCCGCUGCAGCUCCACACGCUGUAUUUCUGAGCCUUGGUCUUUGCCUGGACCGCGGGGACAGUGAGGAGCGGAGGCAGAACCACGGACUGAGGGCCCUCACCGAGGAAGACCCUUGAGGCUGUUUUUCCCCCAGGCGGAGAGGACACACAGCGGCCAAGCCUCACCCGUGCAGCCAGCUGAUGCAUCACUAGAGGGUCUGAUGCUUUCCUCGCACUCCUCUCCCGAUGUGAAUCCCAAGGCAGGGAAGGGCAUCAACUCAAACGCCACUGCCCACGAGCUGGGCCGCAAAGAACAAGAAGAGACUGGAAAUGCAGCUGUGCUCGCCAAGCUCAUUUACUGAGCCCUCCCCGAUCAGCGCUGUCCACGCUUUCAAUGGUUCAAGGCUUCUGAGGGAAGGAGACGUUAUCAUCCGCUGUGACUUGUCGGGAUCACAUGUGGCCUGACCCCACAGUCUCGACUGUACUAUGUGAAGCAUGGAGCUGUACAUUUCUGUCUCCAUUUGAGCAUGCGCUGAUACCGCUUCAAAGAAACAAAACUACCGUUCUGAAACUCUCCUCUCCCAUCUCACCCAGGGCUGCAAACACUGUAGUCUGGGGCUCUCUCUAGCACAUGGCUUGAACGCCAUGACUUUCAUGCAAGGGAGCCUGUGAGACACCUAUCAUAGAGAGAGGGGUCUCUGGUGUCAAAAACUCUGUGCCCAGAGCGGAGCCUAACUGAAGCCGCCUGAAAUGUCUGCAAACAGUAACUGGUCCUGAUUUAUUGAAACAGCAUCAACAGAAAUUUAAGCAGUGAGAACUUAAGUGUCCAGAAAGCAUGAAGUUCUCUGUUAGAAAGGAUGAAAAACACUGAUUAUAAUUCAAACUAAGCCUAUUGGUAAGAUUAAUAGCCAUAAUUUUGUCAUGGGAACUUUUAUAGUUUGUUUUAUUGAAAAAAGAAGUUUUAUUACAAUUGCCACCUAAUAUGGCACUCAGUGUGGAGGCUCUUUGUACGUUGUAUUUUAAAAAGUAACACCUUUCAAUAGCACAGUUACUCUAUAUAAACAUGAAUCAGUACAUGGAAUUAAUAGGUGUUAAAGAAAUGUGUCACUUAUAAAAUGUCUUAUGGUUUUAUAAUAAACCAUACCUUUAUUUAUUUUGAAGUGUAAGUUCCAAUAAGGCAAUGCUGAAUGUGCACUACUAUACAUGUUGAUUUACCACAUGGUAACAUUUAGCCAAAAUAUUUAUUAAACAAGUUUAGAAAAGUAUUUUAAAAGAAAUCAAAAUACAUAUCUUACCUGUUGAA